ACAUAACAUACACACACAUGUAU
rnacentral:miRNA from 1 species